rnacentral:rRNA from 1 species
UGCUAGUCAUCUCAGUAAUGCAGCUAACGCAUUAAGUGUACCGCCUGGGGAGUACGGUCGCAAGAUUAAAACUCAAAGGAAUAGACGGGGACCCGCACAAGCGGUGGAGCAUGUGGUUUAAUUCGAAGAUACGCGAAGAACCUUACCUGGGCUUGAUAUCCUAAGAACCUUUUAGAGAUAAGAGGGUGCUAGCUUGCUAGAACUUAGAGACAGGUGCUGCACGGCUGUCGUCAGCUCGUGUCGUGAGAUGUUGGGUUAAGUCCCGCAACGAGCGCAACCCACGUAUUUAGUUGCUAACGGUUCGGCCGAGCACUCUAAAUAGACUGCCUUCGUAAGGAGGAGGAAGGUGUGGACGACGUCAAGUCAUCAUGGCCCUUAUGCCCAGGGCGACACACGUGCUACAAUGGCAUAUACAAUGAGACGCAAUACCGCGAGGUGGAGCAAAUCUAUAAAAUAUGUCCCAGUUCGGAUUGUUCUCUGCAACUCGAGAGCAUGAAGCCGGAAUCGCUAGUAAUCGUAGAUCAGCCAUGCUACGGUGAAUACGUUCCCGGGUCUUGUACUCACCGCCCGUCACACCAUGGGAGUUGAUUUCACUCGAAGCCGGAAUACUAAACUAGUUACCGUCCACAGUGGAAUCAGCGACUGGGGUGAAGUCGUAACAAGGUAACCGUAGGAGAACCUGCGGUUGGAUCACCUCCUUUCUA